CCUCUCGCUCUCUCAAGAUUAAUUUCCCCUUCCUCACUGGCAAGAAAAACAAUCAAGGAAGAAAGGAGUGAUUGAAGCUGCUGUAAAGGAAGAAGAGCUGCGUAAAGAUGUUGUUGGGGAAGAGACCGAGGGGUCCAAUGAAGAGAACAACAAGCAUGUCAGAGAUCACCUUUGAUCUAGACUGUGAAUCAGCUCCACCGUCGUCUGAUCCGCACAUCGCCCAUAAACAGAUGGCGGGAUUUGUUGGCCAGCUAGAUCAGCGGUUCUUGGCCGC
rnacentral:misc_RNA from 1 species